AUCUUUUUGUAGUUCAUGAGCAUGAUGAUUGGGUUUUUACGUGCAUGAGUGAGAUGUGUCUCCCUCAAACCUUGUUAUGACCUCAGCACAUUACCCCACUGAGG